rnacentral:rRNA from 1 species
GUAGGUGGCAAGCGUUGUCCGGAAUUAUUGGGCGUAAAGCGCGCGCAGGCGGGUCCUUUAAGUCUGAUGUGAAAGCCCACGGGCUCAACCGUGGAGGGUCAUUGGAAACUGGGGGACUUGAGUACAGAAGAGGAAAGCGGAAUACCAAGUGUAGCGGUGAAAUGCGUAGAGAUUUGGAGGAACACCAGUGGCGAAGGCGGCUUUCUGGUCUGUAACUGACGCUGAGGCGCGAAAGCGUGGGGAGCAAACAGGAUUAGAUACCCUGGUAGUCCACGCCGUAAACGAUGAGUGCUAAGUGUUAGGGGGUUUCCGCCCCUUAGUGCUGCAGCUAACGCAUUAAGCACUCCGCCUGGGGAGUACGGCCGCAAAGGCUG